rnacentral:rRNA from 1 species
AACGAACGCUGGCGGCGUGCUUAACACAUGCAAGUCGAACGAGAAAGCACUUUCGGGUGUGAGUAUAGUGGCGCACGGGUGAGUAGUACAUAGGAACGUACCUAAUGGUGGGGAAUAACCACGGGAAACUGUGGCUAAUACCGCAUGAUGUCGCGAGACCAAAGGAGGCCUCUACUUGUAAGCUUCCGCCAUAAGAUCGGCCUAUGUCCCAUUAGCUUGUUGGUAGGGUAAUGGCCUACCAAGGCGACGAUGGGUAGCUGGUCUGAGAGGAUGAUCAGCCACACUGGAACUGAGACACGGUCCAG